GGGCUUCCGAGCUCCGGCGGAGUUCUCUCGCUGCAGCUGCAGAGCUUUCCCUCGGGGGCCGGCCUUCGUGAGGCUAGGGCCUUCUGCCGCGCUGCCAGCGGCUUUCCUGGAACUCGGGUCUGGUCUUCUCAGGAGUGUGAGGUGAAGAAGGGGCAGAACACAUGGGAUUGAGAUGGCGAAAUAGAAGGACUGGAGCUCAACUUCUCUCCUAAAAACAACAAAAUUCUCACAACUAAAGGUUGAGCAUUUUUCACCCAAAUGGACCAGAAUCCUUAAAAAAAGAUAUCCUACUCCAGAAGAAAAAGAGGAGGCCACAUCAAGAGGUAGGAGGGGCGAUUUCGUGAUAUAAACAACCCCCAUAAACAACCCCAUACCUCCUGGGUGGGAAGCCCCACAGAUUGGAAACUUAAUUGGUUCACAGAGACUCACCUACAGGAGUGAGAGUUCUGAGCCCCACAUCAAACUCUCACGUGUGGGUAUCUGGCACCGGGAGAAAGAGCCCCUGGAGCAUCUGGCAUUGAAGGCCAGUGGGGCUUGUGCGCAGGAACUCCACAGGACUGGGGAAAACGGAGACCCCAUUCUUAAAAGGUGCACACGGACUUUCACAUGCACUGGGUCCCAGGGCAGAGCAAAGUCUCCAUAGGAAUCUGGGUCAAACCUGACUGCAGUUCUUGGAGGACAUCCUGGGAAUGUGAACAAGGGUGAAUGUGGCUUGUGGUGAGGGAAGGACAUUGCAGGCACAGCUCUUGGGGGGAAUAUUCAGCAGGUGCCUUUCUCUGGAGGGGGCCAUUUUGGGAAAAUCUGGCCCCAGCCGUCAGUCAGGCUGAGAAGCCCCAGGGCAAACAAGACCCAGGUGGGAUCACAGCCUGGCCCCUCAGUAAACAGGCUGCCUAAAGACCCCUCAGGCACACAGCUGCCUCUAAUCCCAUCCAGAGACUAAGCCCCACCCUCCAGAGGGAUUAGAAUCAGCUCCACCUACCAGGGGGCAGGCAUCAGCCCCUCCCAUCAGGAAGCCUACAGCAAACCCCCAUACUGACUUCAGCCACAGGGGGGCAGACGUCAGAAGUAAGAGAGGCUACAACUCUUAUCUGUAAAAAGGUCACCACACCAAAAACCUAUAAAAAUGAAAAGACAGAAGUUCCCGUCGUGGCGCAGUGAUUAACGAAUCACUAGGAACCAUGAGGUUGCGGGUUCGGUCCCUGCCCUUGCUCAGUGGGUUAACAAUCCAGCGUUGCCAUAAGCUGUGGUGUAGGUUGCAGACGAGGCUCGGAUCCUGCGUUGCUGUGGCUCUGGCAUAGGCUGGCGGCUACAGCUCCGAUUGGACCCCUAGCCUGGGAACCUCCAUAUGCCGUGGGAGCAGCCCAAGAAAAGGCAAAAAAAAGGCCAAAAAAAAAAAAAA
rnacentral:lncRNA from 1 species